UCGCAAUAGCGAUUGCAGCGGCAUCCUUUUUAAAAAAUGAAAUGCAUGAAGUUUAAUUUUGAAAUAGAAAUUGGCAGAUUGCUUCGUCGUGCCUCCUCGCAAUGACGUUUUUAAAAAGAUAUAGCGGAAAGCGCGGUGCUUU
rnacentral:sRNA from 1 species